UGUACAGUUUUGUUUAUAAUUAGUGAAGAGAUGAAAAUAAUGAAACUGUAUGGUGCAGAAAGUGUUUUUUUCAUUGCAGUUUCUGCUGCUGGGAAAGCGGUAGAUCACUAUGGCUUCUGUACCGUGAAAUGAAGCUUAUGAUAAAUAAAAUACUGCUGCUUGCUGGUCACUGAUUGAAGAUCGUUCAGUGGCUACCAUUGGCCAAUCUCACCAACGGGAUAUAAUAAGAACUGAUGCAGGUUUAUAUCUAUAUGUAUUGUCUAUUCGGAACAAAGUUAGAACGCUUUUUAAACCGAUGUUGGAUUUUUCUCCAGAUACAGGCAACCCACUUAACUUUGGAAGUAGUGCGCUGGAUUCAUCUAAAGAUAUGCUAAAC